UUAUUCCUGAUUCCAUUGUUUUAUAUUUGUCUUAUUCCAUAUUGUUAUUCCUGAUUCCAUUGUUUUAUAUUUGUCUAAUUCCAUAUUUUUAUUUAAAAUGUUCAUGACUAUAAAACAAAAUAUAUUGGUCAAGCAAAAUUACUUAUAACUGGCAUGAACUUACAAAAAAGGUGAAGCUUACAUGCAGUGACAGGUAGUCACAAAUAGGGG
rnacentral:lncRNA from 1 species